rnacentral:rRNA from 1 species
CGUACACUCCUGCGGGAGGCAGCAGUGGGGAAUUUUGGACAAUGGGCGAAAGCCUGAUCCAGCCAUGCCGCGUGCAGGAUGAAGGCCUUCGGGUUGUAAACUGCUUUUGUACGGAACGAAACGGCCUUUUCUAAUAAAGAGGGCUAAUGACGGUACCGUAAGAAUAAGCACCGGCUAACUACGUGCCAGCAGCCGCGGUAAUACGUAGGGUGCAAGCGUUAAUCGGAAUUACUGGGCGUAAAGCGUGCGCAGGCGGUUAUGUAAGACAGUUGUGAAAUCCCCGGGCUCAACCUGGGAACUGCAUCUGUGACUGCAUAGCUAGAGUACGGUAGAGGGGGAUGGAAUUCCGCGUGUAGCAGUGAAAUGCGUAGAUAUGCGGAGGAACACCGAUGGCGAAGGCAAUCCCCUGGACCUGUACUGACGCUCAUGCACGAAAGCGUGGGGAGCAAACAGGAUUAGAAACCCGGGUAGUCCCAUG